CUGGCGAUGGCCCUGGCGCUGCGCCUGCUGCUGCUGGGGGCUGCGGCUCUGCACGGGGGCUGCUCCCGCCUGCACUCCACGCGCAUAUACAACACAGUGGUGUCGGAGCCUGGCCCAGGGCUCCCCUGGUACAGCGCUGUCGGCUAUGUGGAUGAUCAGCUCUUCGUGGACUACACCAGCGAGAAGCGGAGGGUGGAGCCCCACACAGCGUGGAUGGCGCGUAAUGUGGACCCACAGCACUGGGAUGAGCAGACUUGGCGUGCACGGCGCUGGCAAGCCUGGUUCAAUGCGAGUCUGAACACCCUGCGUGAGCUCUACAACCACAACAAGGGGUUUCACGUUAUCCAGACGAUAUACGGCUGUGAUCUCUCGGAAGACAACGUCAUUCAGGGGUUUUACCAGGAUUCAUAUGACGGACGAGACUUCCUUACCUUCGAUAAGGAGACCAUGACUUGGGUAGCAGCGGAUAUUGGGGCUCAGAUCACCAAGAAGAGAUGGGAUAUUGAAAUAGGUGACAACCAGCGGUGGAAACGCUAUCUGGAGGAGGAAUGUAUUCCCUGGCUAAGGAGUUCUCUAGAAUAUGGGAAGGAAACUCUGCAGAGGAAAGUGCGCCCAACAGCUAGAGUGAGUGACAGGUCAUCUCACGAUGGCCUCACCACCCUCUCCUGUACAGUCAGAGGGUUCUACCCCCAGGACAUCACUGUGACCUGGCUGAAAAAUGGGGAGAGCAGACAGCAGGAGACCUACUCUGAAGGCAUCCUACCCAGUGGGGACGGGACCUACCAGACCUGGGUGACAAUGGAGAUUGAUCCCAAGAUCAAAGCCCAUUAUUCAUGUCACGUGGAGCAUGAAAGCCUGUUAGAGCCACUCUCUGUCUCCUGGGAACCAAAUAACAAUCUGAUUCCCGUUGUGGCUGGAGUUAUCACUGCAGUUGUCCUGAUUGGUGUUAUAAUCGGAAUAGUCGUCUGGAAAAAGAAACACCCAGGGAAGAAGGGAGAUGGCUACGCUGUAGCUCCAGGGCCUCCAGCUGCCAUUAACUGUGUUCAGUGUCGCUGGACUGAAUGGAGGAAUUAGCUGGAUCAGCUUGGCAAAGAAGGGAUUUGGACACAGAUCUGCCGUCUCCCAUGAACAACAGACCUCCUUCCGCUGGGCAAGGGGGAAGCAUUUUGCGGGUUAAACAUCCAACACAUGGCAUAGCUGGCAUGUUUAUUGUAACAGCAGAUAGGGAAAGAGGAAAAGCAACAGAGAAAGUCCUUUGGCUCACAGGGUGAUCUGUGCCCUGAGCCUUUAGCUCCCUUUUACAGCUUCAAGCAAUCACUCUAAUGGGACGUAACUAGCCCAAAGGAGGACAGAGUCAUUUCAUGAUGCAUAGCGAUAACCUCUUGGGUUCAGACCAAAUAUUGCAAAAGUCCAUUAAUUUUGCAGUGCUGUUUGUGCUUCAGGUGUUAAAUUCUCUUCUCUAAGGGGCAGACAAUACUCUAUUUUGGCACGACACACACUGCAACAGCUGGCAGGAUGGGGGUGUUUUCCUGCCACUCCUGAACCAGCUGUGGGGGCACCAUCUUACUAAAUAGCAGCACUACAAAUCUUCCUGGUUCACCCAUUGCCUUUUUGAACAAGACCCUUCCCUGCCUCUCUGGAACACUCCUCAAGGUAAAAUCCUCCAAUAUGAGAACACCUAAACUCCCUCCCAG